rnacentral:lncRNA from 13 species
UUUGGAAAUGUUUGUCAGAGUGGGAUGCUUGAAAUUCUAAUCUGAGCACGGUUGGAAUAGUUUGAGAAAAAACGAAGGCCAUGACCUUGGCAGUUGGGUGGCCGGAGUAGAAUUGGCUGGUGGUAGAAGAUGGCGGGUGCGGAUGGAUAACGUGGAGACCUGGAAUUCUGGUGACGACAGAGCUGCGAGGCAUAAUGGGCUCUAUUUGAAAGUUGUCUGGGCAUAGGUGAAUAAUCAGGCCGUAGUCCUGAGUACUCAUUAAGAAGGUGUGAGGCCACUGAGUGACUGUUUUCUUCUCGGGGAAGGAUCUCAAGACAAACAGCGCAAGGGACAGCCUGACUGUAAGAGGGAGGUCUGAUCUCAUCAGCAGCCCUGCAGGUCCCAGACCACUUCUGGGAGCUCCACUGCCUAACAGAGUCCCUGCCUUUAGAUGCUGUCAUUCAAAAUGGACACUGGAGAAGGAAGAAUAAAGAGACAGGAGCUGUAAGCAAAGAGGAGAAUGUGAAAUGGCUUAGAAGAGGGGGCAGAACUGGAGAACAGACAUGUAAAGCAGGAAGAGCAUUUGUACAGAAGAGGCAAGAAAGCGUGCUCUGGAGGAAGCCAGCUGCCGUGUAA